AGCCGACUCCUUCCUUUGUCCUAGGUUCCCUCUUGUUGCUGGAUCCGAACCCUAACUCCUCUGGGUUGGGUUGUGGUCAGCCUACCCGACUGCAGCUUCUCCGGAUCUUGGCAGUAAGUUCUAUAGGAUUUGAGCAGUGUUGAGGCAUCAGGGAAUAUGGGUAAGACAUUGUUGGAGAAAGCCCUAAUCACUGUGAUCUUCCUUUUGUGUGAUCCAGAGGAACUUGACGCGAGACAAGUUUCUUAACGUCCGGAUUUGGACUGAUUGGAUCUUUCCUAUUGGAGGCGGGUACCUCUUGACUUAUCUUUUAUGAUAUUGUCAUUGGAUAUGUAUAGUAUUUUAUAACUACAUGCAAUGAACAU